AUAAUGUAAACUUAUUACUUUAAUACUAUUAGUGUUCUUUAAAUUAAAAAAAUUUGGCGGUAUGUAAGUUUAAUUAGAGGAAUUUGUAGUUUAAUCGACAAUCCCCGAUCAUCUUUCCUUGUUUUGUAAAUCAGUUUAUAUACCGUUGUCUUCAGAUUUCAUUUUUAGAUGUUUUCUAAUUAAUAAUUUUAAGUCAAAUCAAGGUGUAGCAAAUAAUAAGGUUACUAUGAAUUACAAUAAAAGUAAUUAUAUGAAUAUUGUUUUGUAAUAAGCAAUUGAAGGUGGAUUUAAUUGUAAAUAUUAUUUAUUAUAUAAUUUUGAAUUAAUUUUUACAUAUGU
rnacentral:rRNA from 1 species